rnacentral:rRNA from 1 species
UGGGGAAUAUUGCACAAUGGGCGCAAGCCUGAUGCAGCCAUGCCGCGUGUAUGAAGAAGGCCUUCGGGUUGUAAAGUACUUUCAGCGGGGAGGAAGGUGUUGUGGUUAAUAACCACAGCAAUUGACGUUACCCGCAGAAGAAGCACCGGCUAACUCCGUGCCAGCAGCCGCGGUAAUACGGAGGGUGCAAGCGUUAAUCGGAAUUACUGGGCGUGAAGCGCACGCAGGCGGUCUGUCAAGUCGGAUGUGAAAUCCCCGGGCUCAACCUGGGAACUGCAUCCGAAACUGGCAGGCUUGAGUCUUGUAGAGGGGGGUAGAAUUCCAGGUGUAGCGGUGAAAUGCGUAGAGAUCUGGAGGAAUACCGGUGGCGAAGGCGGCCCCCUGGACAAAGACUGACGCUCAGGUGCGAAAGCGUGGGGAGCAAACA